rnacentral:rRNA from 1 species
ACUCCUACGGGAGGCAGCAGUGGGGAAUAUUGCACAAUGGGGGAAACCCUGAUGCAGCCAUGCCGCGUGUGUGAAGAAGGCCUUCGGGUUGUAAAGCACUUUCAGUAGGGAGGAAGGUAGUGUAGUUAACACCUGCAUUAUUUGACGUUACCUACAGAAGAAGCACCGGCUAACUCCGUGCCAGCAGCCGCGGUAAUACGGAGGGUGCGAGCGUUAAUCGGAAUUACUGGGCGUAAAGCGCAUGCAGGCGGCCUGUUAAGUCAGAUGUGAAAGCCCGGGGCUUAACCUCGGAAUUGCAUUUGAAACUGGCAGGCUAGAGUCUUGUAGAGGGGUUAGAAUUUCAGGUGUAGCGGUGAAAUGCGUAGAGAUCUGAAGGAAUCCAAGUGGCGAAGGCGGCCCCUGGACAAAGACUGACGCUCAGAUGCGAAAGCGUGGGAGCAAACAGGAUUAGAUACCCCUGGUAGACUGUCA